GGGGAUGAUAGGCCUCGAGGGGAAGAACUUUGAGAUGAUGUUCAGGCGCUCCGCCAUGGCGGAGCUAAAUAUCUCCCAUGGGAAAUAAUAAGUGCAAACUUAUUUGGAACCAGAGAGCCUGCUUUGGCAGUAGCUUAAUGGCAACGCUUGGAUCUUCGGAUCUAGGCCAUCCGUCCUUGAUUCUCGCUAAAGAAUCGCGGGUGUCAUAAGCGAGAAAACUUUUUUCCUGAGAGUCAAUUCAGGAUUUCACUUAAGCUUGUCAACCAUCCCUCAAAAGCUUUCCCGACGCGGGUUCAACUCCCGCCAUCUCCACAA
rnacentral:tmRNA from 6 species